rnacentral:misc_RNA from 1 species
UCUUAACAUAAGGAUAAUUUCUUCCAACAGAUCUAAUUGAUGGAUCCACCUCUUCCUCCGAAUCAACUGUAUGAAGGCCUUCAUCAUCAGAAGAAAAAGAUGAUAUCCUGUAGUCAGAUCCGUUACUUUUGAAUGAACUUGAUGAUAAAAAAUCGCGAGUGUCAAAAAAAGUGUUUUCUUCCUCAUCUGUUUCUUCCUCUGCAG